rnacentral:misc_RNA from 1 species
CGGUUGACUCAUCUGUACCUUUUGAAGGGUGAAGAUCAGCCAUUAUGCCAAUAUUGUAACUGUACUGUAAGUGUUAAACACAUACUUUACAACUGCAUUGCCUCUGAGAGGAUACGUAGACAGCAUUUUGGAAAUGCAAGUUUUAAAGAGAUUUUGGGCCAGAGGCCAAAUCUUGAUAAGAUACUGAACUUUUUGAAAGUCGUAAAUAUUUAUAAAGAAAUUUAAUUAAUUAUUUAUAUAUUUAUUUAUUUAUUUAUUAUAUGCUUAUAUCUAUUUUGUUGUUUUGUUUGUUUGUUUCUAUUUACGUUUUUGUGUCAUAUUUAUAUUUUGUGUUAUAUAUAUUUAGUUUUGUUAUAUUUUACCUUUUGUCAUGGCACAGCAUGGCCUAAAGGGCCCUUGCGCCAAAAAACCUUAACCAACCAACCAACCAACCAACCAAUUUUGUUAAUAUGAAAAUUUUUCACCAUUUGCUUUGGCGCAGCUUAGCCUAUAUGGCUCUUGUGCCAAAAAACCAAAACAAAGCAAACAAACAAACUACUUUUUUGGGCUCUUCCUGAUCUAUCUCAAGGGAUUCAUAGGCCUUAUGAUCUGACUGUGGUUCCUCCUCAGUCUGUUACUUGACUUCUGGAAGAAGUUAUUUGUUCUUUGCCACAAAGUCACGUUCGGAGCUUUCUUUGACAUGUCUAGCUCUCUCCGUGUCUUGUUUAAUAUUGACUUUUUUUCUCUUGCUAUUUUCCCAUUGUCCCUCCUACUACUAAAGUUCUUUUCGAUUCUCAGAAUGGCUAAUCCUACACACUAUUGUUCUUUCCGAUUUUUAGAUGGCCUAAUUUUACCCAAAGGCUAUAACUGUCAUUUGGAAGGUUCUAGAAGGAACAGACAAAGGAAAUAGAAGAAAUAGGGAAGAAAGAUUGGAAUUAUAACUAUAUACAAUUAAAAUACAUAUGUCGAUAUGGCCGAUGGCCACACAUGGAUGGAUCUAAAUUGGAUAACCAUUUUGGUUCAGCCUUCGUUUGCCAGGACGAAAUUGUGGCAGAACAAAUAGCAGCAAAUUCUUCCAUCUUAUCAGCGGAGUGGCAGGGUAUUUAUUUAGCCCUAAAGUAUAUAAAUAGGAAAUGUCAUCAUUGCUGCAUGAUUUACACUGACUCAGUUAGUGCACUUCAGGCUUUGAUCUCGUAUGAACCUAGUUCUCACUCUAUAGUGAUUAAAAUUCGGAAACUAAUUUGUUAUCUCACUACGAGAAAUUUUUCUGUAAAGUUUUGUUGGGUUCCAGGCCACAUGAGUAUAAGAGGUAAUGAAGAAGCUUACACAGCUGCUAAGUCAGCAAGUCCUUCACAGCAUACAAUGUGUAUUGAAGAAGGUGAUUUGAAGCUAGUCAUUAAAAAACGACUAGCAGAGAAAUGGCAAAUUUUGUGGAACGUGCACAAGUCCACAAUAAACUACAUGAGAUCAAACUUAUGAUAGAAAAUUGGACACAUAAUAAACAGUAUAAUAGAUCUGAGGUCAUACUUACUCAUUUGAGAAUUGGAUUAACUCGUUUGACUCAUCAAUACCUUUUGAAGGGUUAUGAUUAGCUACUAUGCCAAUAUUGCAACUGUUUUUUAAGUGUAAAACACAUACUGUGCAACCGCAUUGCCUUUGAGAGGAUUUAUAGACAGUAUUUUGGAAAUACAAGUGUGAUAGAGAUUUUGGGUUAGAGGUCAAAUCAUGACAAUAUACUGGACUUUCUAAAAGUCACUAAUAUGUAUAGAGAGAUUUAACUAUUUAGUUACCUUAUACUUUUAUAUAUAUUGUUGCUUUGUUUAUUUUUAUAGUUGUAUAUACUUGUGUUGUAUCUACUAUAGUUGUAUAGUUGUAUAUUGUGUAUGUAUAUAUAUAGGAGAGAUUGACUGUUUGGCAUGGUGCAGCUUGGCUUAUGUGGCCUUUGUUACAUAAAACAGCAACGAACGACAACUGCCUAAAGAAUUUUUCCAGUGUCAGCAACUUGACUGAACAACUAUCUGAAACGAAAGAACUUUGAACACUUGUAGGCGAAUAUAAACUGAAUUGUUUACUCAAAUAAUUUUAUUUGUCAUGAUUUAGAUUUGUAUAAUUUAUAAUUUAUUUUUAAAUAGACUUACUUCUAGUAUAAACCAAAACGGUGCUUAAUUCACUAUAAUUUCUUUCACUAACGUUUUCGAACCUUUCGAUUCUUCUUGAGGUGAAAAACGGGUAAAUCAGUUAACAUUCGAUUGAGCCAAUCUUUUUUGAAAGAAUUCCGAAUAUGGAACAUCUCUGAAAUUCAUGCAAUCGUCGUCAUCCUCUGCGCAUGCGCUGUUGUGAGCCUACGUUUCAUUUCGUUAUGUGUCAUAUAUCAGGGUUUGCCACGCUACUGAUUAUGAUAUUUCAUCUUUGUUGUUUAUACAAUUGUUACCCUGAGUUGCUUUGUGUAUAUAAAUCGCUUCCAUCAAACGCAAAUAGUGUGUCUGGUGCGUGGUGUAUAUUAUCCUGGCUUGAUCAAAUAACGGUUGUAUGUCAGGGUUUGUUGCGUACUGUGCUAAGGCGGUUGUCGGCCUCUUGUGGAGGAUGUCAGCUUUAUGUUCUUUAAUCCUUACUUUAUUUUUAAAUAUGUAAUCCAUAUAUGUGAAUUUUAUCAAAUGUAACCGAAAUUAUCAUUUUUAUUAUCUCGAUGUAUAAUCAAUUGUUUAAUUGUUAUAUUUUGUCAAAGAGAGAGAGAAUCAUAAACAUGUUUUGUAAACAACCAGUUUUUAACAUUUACAUACUGAGAUGAACAUCUUUUGUUAAAUUGAAAAAUCAUACAUUUUGUAAACGUAGUGUGAUUUUUGAAGAAAAGAGAGUGAUGGGAGAAUCAAGAUUAAGGGUUGGUUUAUUUUAAAGAAAUUAUCAUUAAAAAGAACGUUUUAGUUUAGAAUAAAAUAGCAUUUCAUUUUUUGAUAAAAUUUUGAACAAAAAGGAGUAACAUUUAUCAUUCUCGGAGAGAAUGGAAGUUAAACUUUUUUAGAUGGCUGACUUGUAUGAUGAAUCAGAGACAGUUUUGCACACAUUACUGGCCACCUGAGAGAGUUGUUUCUAUGAAAGGGGGAUUUUCCUGCCAUUUGAAGUAGUUAUUUGAAAGAAGAUAACCAUAUGUAAUACUUGCACAGUACCUAAGAAAGGACAGCCACAUAAGAAGUCGGCAAUAUUUUCUAAGGUGCACAUAAAAGUUACACUCAAUUUUCACACUUUUAUUUCGAUUUCCUUUCAUAUAAAGAAUCAAAGACAAGAAUAAACUGCGUAUGUGAAGGUAGUAUAAAUAAUAGAAUUAUGUAAAUUUUCUCACACGCAUAGAUUAGAUUAGUAUAAAAUUGAUCUCUCAGUAUAUUUAUUGUAAUUUGUUUCAUUGACUUUUAUCAAAUUUUGUUGUUGUGUUUUUAAUUGGUUUAGUUAAUUAGUCUUCAUACAUAGUAGAUCCUCCUAUUAUUUUAUGGAUGUCGUCACUUGUACGUUAUAUUUAUCAUAUAUAAUAGUUUAUGCAUGCUAAUCUGUGAUAAAUAGAUUAACUGGUAUCAGUCCUGACAAGAUCUCAAUUUUUCGAAUCGUGAUCUAUAUAUAUUUAUAGCUCAGAAAGCCAUCUUUUGAUGAGAGAGAUAGUCCAAUUGACUAGAUGCUGAGUAAGUGAUAGAGAUUAUAUUCAAGACUGUCUACCCCUGGCUAGAACCUCAUACAUUCGAGGACCUUUAUUUUGGUGGUUUUCUGUGAAUAAUUGUUUUGUGAAUGAAAACAAAGUUGGAAUGGCAUUAUGCUUUAAUUUUUUUUCAUCAACUCUCACUUUUUUUUACAUUAUUGGUUCAAAAUGAACUUCACACAAACAAGAAUUAUUUUUAGGUUUCCAAUUUUCUUAGCACACUUUUUCAGUCCAAAUUUUUGUCCAAACGGGAUCUCUCGGAAAAUAUUUUAUGAUAUAUCUUUUUGCAGCUGAAUUAGAACAACCAAAAGAUGAACAUCUAGGCAUUAUUUAAGUGAUAUCUGCAUAAUAAUAAUAAAGGGUAUAUUCUAAAACUGGAUUCAAAAUGCAUUAAGACACCUUUAAUACAUUCAGCAGAAUAACAAUACAAAAGUACACUACUGGUAUGUAAAAGAAUCAUUUGUUUAAUGAAUUUUUAUAUGCCUUCUAAAUUGUAUUAAAUUCACAAAUGAUAUUUUAAAUAAACACGUGUUACCAAAUAAAUGAUGCCUUUCAAUAAGGUCCAAAUUACUAGUGUGUCUUUGUAUUGUUAUUGUAUGGGAUGUAUCGGCAAGUGCCAAAUUUGAGACAGGGCACUGUUUUUCAGUUGACAGGGCUGUCGAAACAGGUAACUUUAUUCAUUACUAGCUUAUAGGGCAGACAGAAUGGAUUUUUGUCACUGAUUUUCUGACAGAAACUGAGCCAUGAAGUCUUUUUAGAAUCAUUCAGUUUGUACUUGUACUUGGCAUUGGCUUUCUGAAAGUGUAUAAUUUUAUAUCAUAAGUUCUAUUUCGAUAAGAGGCUUCAUUACAGAUAUAAAUUAUGCCAGAGAAUUGGCUUUGACUAGUAUUUCCACUGCUUCAGUUGGACUGAGUAUCCGUGCUGAGGAACCCUGUGGCUUCCAGUGGCCCAAAGCCAGGACCAUUAUAUUAAUUUCGUUAUACAAUGAACAUAGGGAGAAAUUCGAAUUACCUCAGUAUACAGAUAUUCAGAUAUGGAGGAUGAUUUCAAAUAAAUUAAAUGAAGAGGGGUUUUCAGUCACUCCAGCCCAGGUUGACACCAAAUGGCGAGGACUGAAAAAAACAUUUAAAAAAAUAAAACUGCACAAUUCCCAAUUUGGUAACAACUGGAAACAUUGGGAAUUUUAUUCUUUAAUGGACAAUGCCAUUGGGAGAGGGCCAGAAAUAUUCCGUUGCUACUUGUAGCAACGCAGAUGGAGUGAGAAUGAAUUCACACUCAAGUUCCACUCCCACGUCAUUCCCAUCUCCUGUUGUCUGCACAUCAUCCCCGUCUCCUGUGCCCUCUUCAUCUGCAAUCAGUUCUCGUAAGAGAAAAAGAGAGAGCAGCGAGUUGAUGAAAGUUUUAAAUGACAUAAGAAGAGAAGUACAGGAGAGGAGGGAGGAAAGGAAGAAAGAGCGUGAAAAGCUCCAUGAAGUAUUAAAUAAAAUUUUAUAAAAAUUAUAAAUAAAGUUCUUUUUAUAUUGAAAACAAAAAGUUUUUAUUUCAUAUAAAGUAAACAAAAACUCGUUUUUAAUAUUUUUUAUUAAUCUUUAUUUCAUGAACUUUUGGAUGUACCUAAAUUACUUAAUAUUUGAUA